rnacentral:other from 1 species
AUUUCCACUGCUGCGCGGAGAACACACCCAUCUUUGGCGGGACUUGGGACUCCUGGAGAAUUGCCUUUGGGAAAAGCUGGCAAUUGUUUCUUUAAAUUCCAUCUCUUAGUUUUCCUUGUAAGUAUUCAUGAUUGUUGCAGGUUAAUCUGGUUAAAAAUUACUAAGUA